UACGUAGGGGGCGAGCGUUGUCCGGAUUUGAUUGGGCGUAAAGAGCUCGUAGGCCGUUCGGUAAGUCAGAUGUGAAAACUCCAGGCUACAAUCUUGGAGACGGCCAUCUGAUACUGCUGGUGACUAGAGUCCGGUAGGGGAGCACGGAAUUCCUGGUGUAGCGGUGAAAUGCGCAGAUAUCAGGAGGAACACCGCGGCGAAGGCGGUGCUCUGGGCCGGAACUGACGCUGAGGAGCGAAAGCGUGGGUAGCGAACAGG
rnacentral:rRNA from 1 species